AAACUUUCAGCAAAUGG
rnacentral:rRNA from 1 species